rnacentral:rRNA from 1 species
GUGCCAGCCGCCGCGGUAAUACGGAGGGUGCAAGCGUUAAUCGGAAUUACUGGGCGUAAAGCGCGCGUAGGCGGUUAUAUAAGUCGGAUGUGAAAGCCCUGGGCUCAACCUGGGAACUGCAUUCGAUACUGUAUAACUAGAGUUUGGUAGAGGGAAGUGGAAUUCCACAUGUAACGGUGAAAUGCGUAGAUAUGUGGAGGAACACCAGUGGCGAAGGCGACUUCCUGGACCAAAACUGACGCUGAGGUGCGAAAGCGUGGGUAGCAAACAGGAUUAGAAACCCUGGUAGUCC